rnacentral:lncRNA from 1 species
UCAAACUUGCAGUUCGAACAGAGACAGGAAUGUUGUAAAACCAAUGUGCUCUCUCUUUUGCUAUGUAUAUAUAUAGUUAUAUACCAAUAAUAUUCACGUGACAAAGCUCAUUUUAAAGUAAAAAUUACUCAGAACAACAAAAAAUGACAGAAAUUUUUAUAAAUACUAAUAUAGAAAUGCAUGCAAGUGAUUUUUUUUUUUUGUUAAUUAUGGACUCUAAAAAUAAAAGUUUCAAAUUUUUAUUUUUUUAUUUUUCUGCAAUUUGGUUGGUUUUGCAAAUAUUGUUAAUGUGUUACUAAUAUUUAAAAACUCACAUAAAUCAUGCUUAUGAAAAACAUAUUUUUCAUUUAACUAGAUGCAAUGUAAAUAUUUACAUUUAACAUUUUUCGUAAUUUUG